AUCCAGCUGAUUAGUCCCAAUCGGAACGAAACGUGCGUCAUGGAU
rnacentral:hammerhead_ribozyme from 1 species